UACGGAGGGGGCUAGCGUUGUUCGGAAUUACUGGGCGUAAAGCGCACGUAGGCGGCUUUGUAAGUUAGAGGUGAAAGCCCGGGGCUCAACUCCGGAAUUGCCUUUAAGACUGCAUCGCUAGAAUUGUGGAGAGGUAAGUGGAAUUCCGAGUGUAGAGGUGAAAUUCGUAGAUAUUCGGAAGAACACCAGUGGCGAAGGCGACUUACUGGACACAUAUUGACGCUGAGGUGGCGAAAGCGUGGGGAGCAAAC
rnacentral:rRNA from 1 species